rnacentral:lncRNA from 1 species
CAGGCCUGCGGCUUCUCCUGGGUCCCUGCCUGCUGCGUGGCGCCUCUCCCGACCGAAGGAGCGCAGCAGCCUCGGGACCCAAUUCAUGCAUACAUGGUGUAAGAAAACAAUGUGAAACUUGGUGUCAGAAACAGAUGUGAAACUUGAUUUAAGAAACAGAAGUGAAACUUGAUUUAAGAAGCAGAAGUGAAACUUGAUUUAGGAAACGAUCGACAGGACUUCAGAAAACUCUGUGAAGCUUGAUUUAAGAAACAGAUGUGAAAGUUGAUUUAAGAAACGAUCGACACGACUUCAGAAAACUAUGUGAAACUUGAUUUAAGAGAAACCAGUUCGACUGAUGUGGAAGACUCCGACCAUGUGGAAACGGAGCCUGUUGGGCCUUCCUCCAGGACUGACAGUUGAAACGAUCGAUGGAAUGAUCAGCGCAAACAGAAAAUAUUACUGUUACUGUAAUAUUAUAUGAUAUUCUCUAUAUCUAAGAUAUAUAUUAUAUAUAUGAUGUAAGAUAAGAUAUAUAUUAAAUAUAUAAUGUAAUAUAUAUUAUAUAACAUGUACUAUAUAUAUAUAUAUAUAUAUAUACACACACACACACAUAUGUAUCACGUAAUAUAUAUAUAUAAUGUAAUAUAAUAUUGCUGUUACUGGAAAGAUGACCGCAAGAAGUUGAUUUUUUAUCUACCAGAAGUUUUCUUCGCUGUGUUUUUAAUUGGCGAUUUGCUUUGAUCGUUUUGUUCGCUCCAGCUGUUUUGAGAAGAAUGAUUUGAAAGUGAGCCAAAUAAAGUGUUCUUAAAUGGAA